rnacentral:rRNA from 1 species
GAGGAAUAUUGGUCAAUGGGCGUGAGCCUGAACCAGCCAAGUAGCGUGCAGGAAGACGGCCCUAUGGGUUGUAAACUGCUUUUGUAUGGGGAUAAAGUGCUCCACGUGUGGGGUAUUGCAGGUACCAUACGAAUAAGGACCGGCUAAUUCCGUGCCAGCAGCCGCGGUAAUACGGAAGGUCCGGGCGUUAUCCGGAUUUAUUGGGUUUAAAGGGAGCGUAGGCCGGCCUUUAAGCGUGUUGUGAAAUGUAGACGCUCAACGUCUGAAUUGCAGCGCGAACUGGAGGUCUUGAGUGUGCGCAACGCAGGUGGAAUUCGUCGUGUAGCGGUGAAAUGCUUAGAUAUGACGAAGAACUCCGAUUGCGAAGGCAGCUUGCGGGAGCACAACUGACGCUGAAGCUCGAAAGUGCGGGUAUCGAAC